AGAGUUUGAUCAUGGCUCAGGACGAACGCUGGCGGCGUGCUUAACACAUGCAAGUCGAACGAUGAACCAGGGCUUGCCCUGGGGAUUAGUGGCGAACGGGUGAGCAACACGUGGGCAACCUGCCCCAGACACCGGGAUAACCUCUCGAAAGAGUGGCUAAUACCGGAUAUGACCACUUCGGGCAUCCGACGGUGGUGGAAAGGAUUCUGGUCUGGGAUGGGCCCGCGGCCUAUCAGCUAGUUGGUGGGGUAAUGGGCCUACCAAGGCGACGACGGGUAGCCGGCCUGAGAGGGCGACCGGCCACACUGGGACUGAGACACGGCCCAGACUCCUACGGGAGGCAGCAGUGGGGAAUAUUGCGCAAUGGGCGAAAGCCUGACGCAGCGACGCCGCGUGAGGGACGAAGGUCUGCGGAUUGUAAACCUCUUUCAGCAGGGACGAAGCGAAAGUGACUGUACCUGCAGAAGAAGCACCGGCUAACUACGUG
rnacentral:rRNA from 1 species